GGAUUCUGUAUCUCAUUUGAUGCCUGUACAAGAUCGAGUGCAACAAGAAAUGCAUCAAAAUGUUAAUUCAGAAUUUCACCCUAAUCAUGAUGAGAUUCAAAGACCACUGCACAAUGAAGGAAACAAUGCAAAACAGAAUGCUGGCAUGGGUUGCGCACUAGAUUUAUCUCAAAUUUCAGGCCCAAAUGGGAGAUCAAAGCCUACUCCCC
rnacentral:misc_RNA from 1 species